rnacentral:lncRNA from 1 species
UUCUGAUUAAAGGCAUGAGGCUGUGCGCAGAAACAUUUCAUGCAGCAUGUUAGUUGGAGCAAAAGAGAAAAACAAAAGAAAGAGGAAAAAACAAAACAAAAACCAACAGUCCAAAAUUCGUAAACCAAUAAAGGGUUUGCCAUCGCCUGAAAGGUUUUUGUUUUGUUUUUGUUUUUUCAUUAAUCACCAAACCACAAGGUGAGGCUUUGUAACACCAACCAACUAAGAACUCCAACUCGGCUCGUCCUGGUCUUCCUGUCGUACUCGUGAUUUUAAUCGCUCCUUCUUAGUGCCUGUUUUGGGGUAUGGAGUGCCGUCCUGUGCGCCCAACGCAGCCGCUUGGAUGCCAUCUGAACCGAAGGUCUCUUCGCCUUGCGGGCCUUGCCCAUUCCUACAGUCAGAACUAGGAGGCCUUGCUGGCCCUAGGUGAUUGGAAUUUGUUGGUGACACCAAUCAUGCCAUCAGCCAGGAAUGGGCCACCAUGGAGCGCAUGCCACUUGCUGACAGAGAGCAAGGGACUUAAUCGCCUCUAGUUACUGGGUGUUAAUGAAAAAACAAACCAAACAGAAAACCAAACAGCACAUUAUGCCGGUAACGGAAUUAGAGGUUGGAUGGCUGCGGUCUCCUAAAUGUGUCG